GCGGAAGGAGCUCAGUUGAUAGAGCAUUAGCCUUCCAAGCUGAGGGUCGCGGGGUUGAGCCCCGUCUUCCGCU
rnacentral:tRNA from 1 species